rnacentral:rRNA from 1 species
UACGUAGGGUGCAAGCGUUGUCCGGAAUUACUGGGCGUAAAGAGCUCGUAGGCGGUUCGGUAAGUCAGCUGUGAAAUCUCCACGCUCAACGUGGAGGGGUCAGCUGAUACUGCCGUGACUUGAGUCUGGUAGGGGAGUGCGGAAUUCCCGGUGUAGCGGUGAAAUGCGCAGAUAUCGGGAGGAACACCAGUGGCGAAGGCGGCACUCUGGGCCAGUACUGACGCUGAGGAGCGAAAGCGUGGGGAGCGAACAGG